GACGAACGCUGGCGGCGUGCUUAACACAUGCAAGUCGAACGGUAAGGCCCUUCGGGUACGACGAGUGGCGAACGGGUGGAGUAACACGUGGGUGAUCUGCCCUGCACUUCGGGAUAAGCUUGGGAAACUGGGUCUAAUACCGGAUAGGACCACGGUCUGCAUGGAUUGUGGUGGAAAGCUUUUGCGGUGUGGGAUGGGCCCGCGGCCUAUCAGCUUGUUGGUGGGGUGAUGGCCUACCAAGGCGACGACGGGUAGCCGGCCUGAGAGGGUGUCCGGCCACACUGGGACUGAGAUACGGCCCAGACUCCUACGGGA
rnacentral:rRNA from 1 species